UACGGAGGGGGCUAGCGUUGUUCGGAAUGACUGGGCGUAAAGCGCGCGUAGGCGGAUCAUCAAGUCGGGGGUGAAGUCCCGGGGCUCAACCCCGGAACGGCCUUCGAGACUGGUGGUCUUGAGUUCGAGAGAGGUGGGUGGAAUUCCGAGUGUAGAGGUGAAAUUCGUAGAUAUUCGGAGGAACACCAGUGGCGAAGGCGGCUCACUGGUCCGGUACUGACGCUGAGGUGCGAAAGCGUGGGGAGCAAACAGG
rnacentral:rRNA from 1 species